rfam:Mycoplasma sp. (ex Biomphalaria glabrata), complete genome.
GUCCUCGUAGCUCAGUGGUAGAGCAAUUGACUUUUAAUCAAUGGGCCGAAGGUUCGAGUCCUUUCGGGGACA